UGGGGAAUAUUGGACAAUGGGCGCAAGCCUGAUCCAGCCAUGCCGCGUGAGUGAUGAAGGCCCUAGGGUUGUAAAGCUCUUUCGCCAGGGACGAUGAUGACGGUACCUGGAUAAGAAGCCCCGGCUAACUUCGUGCCAGCAGCCGCGGUAAUACGAAGGGGGCUAGCGUUGUUCGGAAUCACUGGGCGUAAAGCGCACGCAGGCGGAUCUUUAAGUCAGGGGUGAAAUCCCGAGGCUCAACCUCGGAACUGCCUUUGAUACUGGAGGUCUCGAGUUCGGGAGAGGUGAGUGGAACUGCGAGUGUAGAGGUGAAAUUCGUAGAUAUUCGCAAGAACACCAGUGGCGAAGGCGGCUCACUGGCCCGAUACUGACGCUGGGGUGCGAAAGCGUGGGGAGCAAAACAGGAUUAGAUACCCUGGUAGUCCACGCCGUAAACGAUGGAUGCUAGCCGUUGGGGAGCUUGCUCUUCAGUGGCGCAGCUAACGC
rnacentral:rRNA from 1 species